UGUGUUGCUUACCUACGAAAAGGAAUUCGAUGGUUCGGUUGGCCCUCUCCGCCCGACGCCCUCUACGGGCGUGGGGUGGACGUCAGGCAAGCUCCGUGUUUCCUGGCACGCCUCGCCCAGCUGCGUGGGCUGCCUAGGCGCACGGCGUCGUUGCCCGUUCUCUCGGAUGCGGAACGUCAUGCGCGGGUGCGGGGGUCUAGGCCUUCGCCAGCCCGAGCUACGCAUUUGUCCCUCGGCACGGACGACGGUCGCUCCCGUCUUGACCCCGGGGCCUUCGGGCCCGACGGGGCUCAUGCGGGCGUCGACGUCGCGGAAGAAUGCUACCUGGUUGAUCCUGCCAGUAGUCAU
rnacentral:misc_RNA from 1 species